AUACGUAGGGUGCGAGCGUUAAUCGGAAUUACUGGGCGUAAAGCGUGCGCAGGCGGUUUUGUAAGACAGUGGUGAAAUCCCCGGGCUCAACCUGGGAACUGCCAUUGUGACUGCAAGGCUGGAGUGCGGCGGAGGGAUGGAAUUCCGCGUGUAGCAGUGAAAUGCGUAGAUAUGCGGAGGAACACCGAUGGCGAAGGCAAUCCCCUGGGCCUGCACUGACGCUCAUGCACGAAAGCGUGGGGAGC
rnacentral:rRNA from 1 species